AAUCCACCAAAUUACAGUAGCUUCUCUCAGCUACAAACCAAAAUUACUUCCGGAUUAGAUUUUUAGACGCUCUAAAAUUGAAUCACUAGCAUCAAAAUUUUCCAAAUGUCCAUCUUCUAACGUCAUUGAAUUCCGAUAGCAAACCAAACACACAGAAUCCAACGCAACUUAGGGCGAGAAAAUUUCACCAUUACCUCGUUAGAUACAUCUUUCUCCUUAGCUUUCGCCUUCAAGUACCGAUUCAAGUACACGAAGGAAACUGCCGAGAAAGCCGUGACGGCGACCACGACCACCGCCGAGGAGGAGCUCGCCUCCA
rnacentral:lncRNA from 1 species